GGGCGUAAAGAGCUCGUAGGUGGUUUGUCGCGUCGUCUGUGAAAUUCCGGGGCUUAACUCCGGGCGUGCAGGCGAUACGGGCAUAACUUGAGUGCUGUAGGGGAGACUGGAAUUCCUGGUGUAGCGGUGAAAUGCGCAGAUAUCAGGAGGAACACCGAUGGCGAAGGCAGGUCUCUGGGCAGUAACUGACGCUGAGGAGCGAAAGCAUGGGUAGCGAACAGGAUUAGAUACCCUGGUAGUCCAUGCCGUAAACGGUGGGCGCUAGGUGUAGGGGACUUCCACGUCUUCUGUGCCGUAGCUAACGCAUUAAGCGCCCCGCCUGGGGAGUACGGCCGCAAGGCUAAAACUCAAAGGAAUUGACGGGGGCCCGCACAAGCGGCGGAGCAUGUGGAUUAAUUCGAUGCAGCGCGAAGAACCUUACCUGGGCUUGACAUACACCGGACCGGCGCAGAGAUGCGUCUUCCCUUGUGGCCGGUGUACAGGUGGUGCAUGGUUGUCGUCAGCUCGUGUCGUGAGAUGUUGGGCUAAGUCCCGUAACGAGCGCAACCCUUGUCUUAUGUUGCCAGCACGUUGUGGUGGGGACUCAUGAGAGACUGCCGGGGUCAACUCGGAGGAAGGUGGGGAUGACGUCAAAUCAUCAUGCCCCUUAUGUCCAGGGCUUCACACAUGCUACAAUGGUCGGUACAGUAGGUCGCGAACCCGUGAGGGUGAGCCAAUCCUGUGAAAGCCGGCCUCAGUUCGGAUUGGGGUCUGCAACUCGACCCCAUGAAGUCGGAGUCGCUAGUA
rnacentral:rRNA from 1 species